CCUACGGGAGGCUGCAGUGGGGGAUAUUGCACAAUGGGGGAAACCCUGAUGCAGCGACGCCGCGUGUGGGAAGACGGUCCUCUGGAUUGUAAACCACUGUCCCCAGGGACGAAGAUGACGGUACCUGGGGAGGAAGCUCCUGCUAACUACGUGCCAGCAGCCGCGGUAAUACGUAGGGAGCGAGCGUUGUCCGGAAUUACUGGGUGUAAAGGGAGUGUAGGCGGGGAUGCAAGUUGGGUGUCAAAACUACCGGCUCAACUGGUAGUCGCACUCAAAACUGCAGCUCUUGAGUGAAGUAGAGGCAGGCGGAAUUCCUAGUGUAGCGGUGAAAUGCGUAGAUAUCAGGAGGAACACCGGUGGCGAAGGCGGCCUGCUGGACUGCAACUGACGUUGAGGCCCGAAAGCGUGGGGAGCAAACAGGAUUAGAUACCCGAGUAGUC
rnacentral:rRNA from 1 species